rnacentral:rRNA from 1 species
UACGGAGGAUGCAAGCGUUAUCCGGAAUGAUUGGGCGUAAAGCGUCCGCAGGUGGCCGUUCAAGUCUGCUGUCAAAGACCGGGGCUUAACUUCGGAAAGGCAGUGGAAACUGAACAGCUAGAGUAUGGUAGGGGCAGAGGGAAUUCCUGGUGUAGCGGUGAAAUGCGUAGAGAUCAGGAAGAACAUCGGUGGCGAAGGCGCUCUGCUGGACCAUAACUGGCACUCAGGGACGAAAGCUAGGGGAGCGAAUGGG